rnacentral:rRNA from 1 species
AACGAACGCUGGCGGCAUGCCUAACACAUGCGAGUCGAACGAGACCUUCGGGUCUAGUGGCGCACGGGUGCGUAACGCGUGGGAACCUGCCCUUAGGUUCGGAAUAACUCCCCGAAAGGGGUGCUAAUACCGGAUAAUGUCUUCGGACCAAAGAUUUAUCGCCUUUGGAUGGGCCCGCGUUGGAUUAGCUAGUUGGUAGGGUAAAAGCCUACCAAGGCGACGAUCCAUAGCUGGUCUGAGAGGAUGAUCAGCCACACUGGGACUGAGACACGGCCCAGACUCCUACGGGAGGCAGCAGUGGGGAAUAUUGGACAACGGGCGAAAGCCUGAUCCAGCAAUGCCGCGUGAGUGAUGAAGGCCUUAGGGUUGUAAAGCUCUUUUACCCGGGAUGAUAAUGACAGUACCGGGAGAAUAAGCACCGGCUAACUCCAUG